rnacentral:rRNA from 1 species
AUUGAACGCUGGCGGCAGGCCUAACACAUGCAAGUCGAACGAGUGGCGGACGGGUGAGUAAUGUCUGGGAAUCUAGCUGAUGGAGGGGGAUAACUACGGGAAACUGUAGCUAAUACCGCAUACCAUCGGAUGUGCCCAAGUGGGAUUAGGUAGUUGGUGGGGUAAAGGCUCACCUAGGCGACGAUCCCUAGCUGGUCUGAGAGGAUGACCAGCCACACUGGGACGGAGACACGGCCCAGACUCCUACGGGAGGCAGCAGUGGGGAAUAUUGCGCAAUGGGGGCAAGCCUGACGCAGCCAUGCCGCGUGUAUGAAGAAGGCCUUCGGGUUGUAAAGUUCUUUCGGUGGCGAGGCGUUACCUACAGAAGAAGCACCGGCUAACUCCGUGCCAGCAGCCGCGGUAAUAC